rnacentral:rRNA from 1 species
UACGGAGGGUGCAAGCGUUAAUCGGAAUUACUGGGCGUAAAGCGCGCGCAGGCGGCCUUUCAAGUCAGGGGUGAAAGCCCGGAGCUCAACUCCGGAAUUGCCUUUGAAACUGUCAGGCUCGAGUACGGGAGAGGUGAGUGGAAUUCCCAGUGUAGAGGUGAAAUUCGUAGAUAUUGGGAAGAACACCGGUGGCGAAGGCGGCUCACCGGCCCGUUUCUGACGCUCAGGCGCGACAGCGUGGGGAUCAAACAGG